AAGACUAUACUUUCAGGGAUCAUUUCUAUAGUUUCUGACUUGAGAAAUGUGUUUCUAAAGUGAUUAGUCUCGCUAACCACGAUGAUGAGUCGUGAUAUUCCCUUCUGAGCGUGAAGCGGGCACAGAGUAAUGAUUCAGUUCAUAUGCUCUCUGUCAUUGAGGAUCGUUCUUUGUUUCUUUAUGGAGCUUUGAGGAAGGGAAUAUGAUCAGAGUGGC
rnacentral:snoRNA from 1 species